GAAACUGCCGGUAAUACCGGAUAAUGUCUCCGGACCAAAGGUGUGAUUCCGUCCGAGGAGCGGUCCGCGUCCUAUUAGCUUGUUGGUGGGGUAAAAGCCUACCAAGGCUCUGAUGGGUACCGGGCGUGAGAGCGUGGCCCGGCUCACUGGGACUGAGACACUGCCCAGACACCUACGGGUGGCUGCAGUCGAGAAUCUUCCGCAAUGGACGCAAGUCUGACGGAGCGACGCCGCGUGCGGGAUGAAGGCCUUCGGGUUGUAAACCGCUGUCAGAGAGGCGGAAAUGCCUAGGGGUUCUCCCCUAGGUUUGACCUAAUCUCAGAGGAAGUACGGGNUAAGUUCGUGCCAGCAGCCGCGGUAACACGAACCGUACGAACGUUAUUCGGAAUCACUGGGCUUAAAGAGUCCGUAAGCGGCUUGGUAAGUCGGGUGUGAAAUCCCUCAGCUCAACUGAGGAACUGCGCCCGAUACUGUCAAGCUUGAGGGAAGAUAAAGAAAGCGGAACUGAUGGUGGA
rnacentral:rRNA from 1 species